UAGGAGGUGGCGUCCAGUGGUGAUGUCAGAAUGGCAGGGCCAGCUGUUGAUCCUGUAUGGCGUAUAGCACCGUAGAUGAAGUUCUUUGCCUGUCGCACCACUGUGCAGUUCAAGCCACUUACUAAUCCCUCCAUCUCAUUCUACUCUGCUCACAAGGCGUUUGACAGAUUGCAUCAUAUGUUCUUUCUUCACCAUUGUCUCUUAAUAUCAAUUGAACUCUGACAUUUCCCCUUCAUAUAUAUGGCGACCGAUACAAUAGCAUGGUAAUUAUCUUUUUCUUAUUUUGAUUUUAAGGUCAUAUCUAAUUACUUGAUGGAGUAAUAGUGCUCAACACAUCAAAUCAUAUAUUUCAGAUUAGUGGCACGUCUUAGUGAUACCAUUAUUAUUUUUGAAUCAUUGACCCGUCUUUCUUAUCUUUCCACCUAGAGUAUGGUGAUGUACAAAGCUCUUGAGAUAUGUAGUGUAGUUGAUUACGAAAUAUACCAAAAAGUGAGUUUGGCUUAUGUUAAGUUAUACUCCCGACUCUUGAUGUUGAUUGAAUUGAAAAUUUCAAAUGAUUAUAACUGAAAUUUGUAGUUACUUAAAUCUCUGAGGGUAUUUGCAUCCUGAUGUUUUACAUCCACUAGAUGUUUUUUUUUUCACAUCCUCUGGGUGAACUUUUUGUACUGAAUUUUAAUCUUUGUUGGUAGCGGAUGUUUUGAAGUUGAGGCAGCUGAUGUUAUAUGUACCCCCUAUACCGAAGAAGUGGGCAUUCCAAUGGAUAGAUUGGGUCAAAUGUAAUCCAUAUAUACUACUUUUGAGGUCAGUUGUGUUUUCUCAGGUUUAUGUACGAAUGAUGACUGUUUUCAGAAGAAAAAACUUGAAUUAGAAAUGGAACCUCUGAUGGAUUGACAUGUGAAUCUUAUUCUCUAGAAUCUACUCCCUCCGUUCCAAAUUACUCGUCGUGGUUUUAGUUCAAAUUUGAACUAAAACCACGACGAGUAAUUUGGAACGGAGGGAGUAGAAUUAAUUCUAUAUCAUAGGAUGUGACUGAAUAUGCAACAUCACACCUCAUUCUGCUAUGAUGUUAGCUUUCUACUUUAGUUAUCAGGAAAAAUUUCUUGCGGUUCGUGGCUUCAUGUUCUCUCGUUCACAUUUAAAUGAUGGUUGGGAAAUUCCUGUUAAAUGAAUUUUAACAAUAAGGAUACAGUCGUCUACAUUUAAUUUUCUUCUCUAUUGCUGGGUAAUCUUCUUGUGCCAUCAUUUUCUGAGUACUUUUAUGGUGUCGGUAUCUGGUCCAGAUCCAAUGGAGACAAGAAAAAUCGUGUUGCUGCUUCUGCUUUCGAUU
rnacentral:lncRNA from 1 species